rnacentral:rRNA from 1 species
AACGAACGCUGGCGGCAGGCCUAACACAUGCAAGUCGAACGCUCCGCAAGGAGAGUGGCAGACGGGUGAGUAACACGUGGGAAUCUUCCUAUCGGUGCGGAAUAGCUCAGGGAAACUUGAGGUAAUACCGCAUACGCCCUCAGGGGGAAAGAUUUAUCGCCGAUAGAUGAGCCCGCGUCUGAUUAGCUAGUUGGUGGGGUAAUGGCCCACCAAGGCGACGAUCAGUAGCUGGUCUGAGAGGAUGACCAGCCACACUGGAACUGAGACACGGCCCAGACUCCUACGGGAGGCAGCAGUGGGGAAUAUUGGACAAUGGGCGCAAGCCUGAUCCAGCCAUGCCGCGUGAGUGACGAAGGUCUUCGGAUUGUAAAGCUCUUUUGCCAGGGACGAUAAUGACGGUACCUGGAGAAUAAGCCCCGGCUAACUUCGUGCCAGCCGCCGCAGUAAAAC